UAUUAUUGUGGUCAGCCUUUUAUUUUACCAAGUAGGUACAGUCUUUUCCAAUGUAAAUGGAAUUGGUAAUUGAUCGGAUUGUUGACACUGUUGGUUAAGUGAGGGAAUUGUAAAGAAAUAUAUGCUUCCUUUAAGGGACUUCUUUUCUACUCAAGAUAUCUAAACGUGUAGUAAUUUACUAGUGUUCUGAUGUAGACCUAAGCCUUUUCUUUGUUUACUUGCGGGUCUCUUGAAAGAAGGGUUCAUUGCUGUUUCUGCACCAUGUGUUUCUGCCCACAUCGUCCUGUCCUGGAGCCAUUUUUCCAGUUUCUCAGACUUGGAGCGAGACAUUGUAGACACUUAUGAAGCAAUCGGAUUGCAAAACCUUGCUUUGUUUUUAUGGUUUUCCUCCCAACAUUUUAUAAUUUUCUCACUCAUUCUGAACUUGGUGGCAUUUUUUUUUAAUGACACGCUUUUAUUGAGUCUUUCCAAAGCAUUCAAUCUGUUAUUUUUUUUAGAAAUAGCUGGGGUUUUUUGUUUUGUUUUUUUGCUCACACUCAUUUCACUGGUCAAUAUCUUUUCUGUUUACACUUUUAGUUGGUUAGUUUAUACAUGGAUUAAUUAGCUGACAUAAUUAUAACCAAUGUGUAUGAUUGACCAUGAGAUUGAAGGGUUUUGGCUAAUCUAAUCUACGGUUAACCUAAUCUUUGGUUAAGAGAGGGUUUGGUGAAGAAAGUUUCUACUAAAUGGUUAUGAUCCUAAUUUCAUAAAAGAAUGGACAUUUGAGCACCCCCAAGCCAGAAUAGUAGGAAGGUUUCCCAAGAAAGGACAAUUGAUAGCUUUCUGCCAAUAUGAGGUGUGUAAUUGCCUACAAAUUGACUGAUACUUUGUCCAGGAUGGUGCUCACAUGUGGGCUAAGGGCUGGCAGACACUGAUCUUAUUCACACUGGACAUGUUCUCUGGACAUGAACUCUCUCUGCUGCAUUCCAGGGGUUGUGGCCUAGGGUUCCCCCCAAACCCCUAGUAAUCCUACUCAUCUGGAUGCUGACUAAGGUUGUUGUUUAUGAGGGCCCCAUGGCCCUCCAUCAGUUGGGAAGAGGGCCCCUUGACUCAGUCCAAUUCUGCCUGCUCAGCACAACCCCUUUCCCAAAGCAGCCCACUGUGACCACAAACUCACGUGGCCCUGUCUUGAGGGCGUGUGGUUCUUGCAACAAGAAAGGGUGAUUGAUGCUCACCUGCUGAAGGAAUCACUGAGGACAAGUUCAGAAUUAAGGAGGAGGUUAAGACUUUGCUCCUAAGGGUCACGAAUAGAGAAGAGACAUUCUAAACCUUUGUGUCAUAGAAUAUCUACUUCAGUAGAGAGGAGGUGUUUACUACAGGUUCCAGAAUAAAAAUUCCAUCCUGGGGGGUUUCUCCCACAUCCCUCUCCAUCACCUUCCUGUCUUCUGUGAUACAAAGCCAGAUGUCCUCAAUUCUGUUUUUUACUAGCUUAUUGCUUCAUUUUAAGUUAUAAAGUAUUUGAUGAGUCUAUAUAAUGUGUGUAUGUGUUAUAAAGGAUAAUGAAACAAACACCCAUGUACCCGCCCUCCCCCCCUACUGAAGAAAUGGUCGCUCAUUAUUUGGCUUCUUUUUUUCCUUCCAAGGAGGGAAGCAAACAUACCUUACCUUAGUCCUAAGCAUUAGGUAGCUUAGGGGUCCCACACAGCCCUUGACCCGCUCUCAUUGCCUUAUGUUAAUUAGCAAGGUGGUCAGGUGAGUUGGUCUGCAUUAUGUAGUAUUCUGUACUAAACUGACAAAUUGAUGCCACUCUUCUUAUUUUAACAUUAUUUUUCUCCCCCAAUAAAACCAAUGCCCACUUGUGCCUUUAUGUUAUUUAAGAAUCUGGCAAUUGGUUUGCCAUUCUGACAGCAGCCACAUAGAAUUUCCUUCUGGCAUUCCCACGUAGGAUGCUGCCCUCUGUCAAGGGUAGUGAGGGUUUCUGUGACAAAGAGGCAAAUGUCUCAACCGCUGGUCUCAGCCAUGGUGCCCAGUGCCAGCCCACUGGUCAUUGGAAAGAGUUGCAAAAGUUCAGAUGAUGACUUCAUUUCAAAAUUUCACACAGCCUUUGCAAGAUUAAUAAUGAGCCAGAAAAGCAGAAGGACUAAACCCCAAAGACCUCGUGAUCUCCCACCAACUCCUGGCAAGUCAAAGUAGAAUGGGUGGAGAGGUAAAGUGUUUUAUCUUAAAACACAGUGAGACCUGAGAACAGAAGAAGGAGAAACAGGAGGUAAAGUGAAGGAGAGGCUUCCCCGGAGUGGUGUUGGUGUAAGUCUAGGCUUGCUUUCCUGGGGUUGCUAUCCUGCAGUUGGGUUUGGUGGAGGCAAAUCCCUAAGAGGUAAAGUUGCUUGGCUCCUUUGCCCUUGAGACCCAGUUAAUGGUUAUUCACUGCAGUAGGCCUACUUUCCAAUAGCAUCUGGGCAGGUCUGGAGGCAGAGUCUUGAAUCUGCAUUGUGAAUGAAUGUCCCCCACUGGCAUUGACUCUGCUUUAGUGUUUGUCCUGGGCCAGGCUGAAAUUGUUACCAGGGCUGCACUAGGAUGGCAGGAAGUCAGCAUCAGAAGGGGAAGCUACCAGUUCAAGCCUUCCUUUCCCUGAGAAUCCCAGGGGUCCAGGGAGGGCCAUGCCAGCAUGCUAAUGGGGAAGAAUUCAAGGUCUGGGGUUAGACACCCUGGGGAUGGGGUUCUGUCUUUUACUUGCUGAGUGGCCUUGGACAAUCAUGAAAUGUCUCUCAGGGCCCAAUGACUCCUCUGCCUAACGGAGUUUAACCAAAGUGCCACAGCCUAUGUCCUGUGAUUUCAAAGUAACCAAAGUAACCAAAGUAACCUUCUGGUUCCCACUGUGGGACCUUGGGUCCCCACCAAUAUCCCUCCAGCAGAUCCCAGCUAUCUCUGAGAAGUCUCACGGGGCUAGCACCCACAUGACCCACAGAAGUCUCCUUCAAUGCUUUAUUACAGCAAAAUGUUAGCAUUUAUUUAUUUAAAUGUUUAUGUAUUUAUUUUGAGAUAGAGAGAGAGCACGAGUGGGGAAGGAGGAGGGAGGGAGGGAGAGAGAGAGAGAGAGAGAGAGAGAGAGAGAGAGAGAAUCCCAAGCAGGCUCCAUGCUACCAGUGCAGAGCCCAGCAUGGGGCUCAAUCUCAUGAAACACAAGAUCAUGACCUGAGCAGAAAUCAAGAGCCAGAUGCUUAACCAGUUGAGCCACCCAGACGCCCCCCAAAUGUUAGCAUCUAGUAAAUAUGAAUGGUGAUACAUGGGCAUUUCCUUUUUGUUAUGAUAUUCUCUGUACCUUUUGAUAAGCUUCAACAUUUCAGAAUUAACAAAAGAUUUUCAUGUGUUCAUACAAUGGAAUACUAUGUAAGCAUUAAAACUAAUGAGGGUGAAAUGAACAACGCCCUGAACAACAGUGGGAGGGGGGGUGUUAGGAGUGCUGACUCCUGUGCAAUUGAAAAUCUGCAUAUAACUUUGACUCCCCCAAAGCUUAACUACUUAGUCUACUGUUGACUGGAAGCCUUACUGAUAGCACAGCUGAUUAACACUUAUUUUGUAUGUUAUAUGUAUUACAUACUGUAUUCUUUCAAUAAAUAAGUCAGAGAAAAGAAAAUGUUAUUAAGAAAAUCAUAAGGAAGAGGGGUGUCUUGGUGGCCCAGUUGGUUAAGUGUCCAACUUUGGCUCUGGUCAUGAUCUCACGGUUCAUGAGUUCGAGUCCUGUGUUGGGCUCUGUGCUGACAGCUCAGAGCCGAAGCCCACUUCAGACUCUGUGUCUCCCUCUCUUUCUGCCCCUCCCCCACUCAUGCUCUGCUCUCUCUGUCUCUUAAAAAUUAAUAAAUGUUAAAACAUUUUUUUAAAAAAGGAAAAUCAUAAGGAAGAGAAAUGCCAUAGUGGACUAUAUGGUAUUUAUUGAAAAAAAUCUGCAUGUUAAUGCACCUGUGCAGUUCAAACCUGCAUUGUUCAAAGGUCAAUCGUAUAUAUAUACUUUAGAGAGCAAUUCCAUUUUAAUAUAAGGUACAUGUUUUGAAACAGUGGCAUCACAGAUAAUUUUUCUUUGUUUUGCAUUUCUCAAAUUUUGUAAUUAGACAUGUGUUAAUAAUAAUGGCUCUUGCAGUUAACCAAUAGCCACCAAUAGAAGUUGACUAUCCAACCCAGUGCUCAAGUCACAAACACAAGUCUCAUUUACUUCUUCCCCAGACCUAUGUGGGGAAGCCACCUACCCCAGUGUUCCCAAGGCUGGAACCUUGCCUGUCCACUUUUGGGUGUUCUGAUCUGCCUUCCACACCAUGCUUCCUGCUGCCCGUUACUCUUGCAGAUUGCUCUGGACCUGGGUACCACCAUUCCUCGCCAGUGAAUGUCACUGGUGACACAGUGACAGCCUUUGGGGGAGUACUGAUCACCCCUUUGCUAUUCUGCCCAGAGCAUGAGAUAACCCUUCUCUGGCUCUUCAUGGCUCAUCAGAAACCAGUCAUGGAGUGAGACCAAAAGAAGAGGAUGCACCCAAGUCAAUAGCUCAGAACUACUGCACAGACCAGGGUUUAGACCCUCCAGGGGUUCUUACUUGACAGCGGUAAGUUACAUAAUCUGGGGUCCAGCACAAAAUAAAAAUACGGGACUCCUUGUACAAACAUAUUGAGAUGAUCUCAAGAUAGUGACAGCAGGGUAUUAAACUAAUCAUAGGGCCCUUCCAAAUGUGGAGCCCCAAGUGACUGUCCAGGUGGCACACCCACAAAGCUGGCCUUGUUUGGGAGGCUUCCAUAUCACUUCUCAACUGCUUCCACGUGACCAUAGACUACUCUUGCCUUACUCCCACUGGAAAAAUUCAGGCGUCUUCACACCAACUGACCCUGGUCCCAAAACCAGGAGGAAGAACUUCCCCUCAUUCUAACCUGAGGCUUGCCUCCUGUCUCCUCAUCUGCUGUCCCUGCAUCGACCUCCUCCUGGGGUGGUUGAAAGUUGGGUCAUCUGUUUCCUCUACAGGACAGCCUACGCCCACUCAUAGGGUGAGGUCUGGCUCCACAGACCCAGUAAGCCAAUUGGUUUAUAGGGUGACAUCAGUUCAUUACCUAAGUUUGAUUGUUAAUAACCUAAGUCUGGGUAUCCAGUCUUAAAUGACACCAUGUAUGGGACACAGUCCAGUUUCAUGGGGAGAGUGACAAGUUCAGCUCAGUUCUUUUUCAGUCACUUUUCAUUAAAGAUUUGAAAAUAUUGGGACCCAGCCUUCCCCAGGAUUACCAUGGAGUCCUAAGUUGCUUUUUCAUGACUAGUCUAUAGCUAACACACCCCCAUUUUCCUUGGAAACCACUCUCUUCCACUCGUGGUCAAUAGGCCUUGGAUGGGACCGACUCCUCCAUGUGACCCAUUUCAGUCCAAUGAGCAUUAGAUAUAGGACUUCAUUAAAAACUAGUAGCUGUGAGGAUGUGACCUGCACCUGCUGACAGUCAUGUGACCCCACAAGAAACCUACCUGUGAAUAAAGCUAAGUUAGAGGGUAGAAUGUUGAUAGACAGAGACAGAUGCUGUUGUCUGAGUCCCUGGAUCCAACUAAACAGCAUCGCCAGGCUUCACACUUACACAAACCAAUGAAUUUUCUUUUCUUGUUUAAGGUGGUUUGACUUGGGUUUUGUUACUGUCCGUCAAAAUGAUCCUGACCACAAGAGUUCUCUGUUUACAGACAACAAUGAAACCUGGGUGGCUUAUGCUCAGGGCUGUGGAAAUCAGAUGAGAUAACUUAUAUGCAGGUGUUUUGCAAACUGUAAAAGGCUAUUUGAAUGGAAUGACCAAGGAAGUACAAUUGCCCAAAUCCCUAAGGUCCUGACAAGGGCACUGAGAAAGAUGGAGGCAAAGAUAUAAGAUGACAACUGUUGGUGUGUCUGAUGGGGCCUCUGGAAGAGGGAGCAUCCCUACCCCUUUGCCCCCAGUCAGGUCGAGUCCUGGGCAUUCUCAAACUCAAAGGCAAGUAGUUCCUAAAGGAGUGCAGGGAACGAGGUCUGGAGAGAACAGCAUGCCCCUUCCCCCCAUACCAGGAAUAAAUACAGCCAGGGAGGCAGGUGUCAGAGUAGAGAGGACCUGAGGAAGAAGGGGCCACAGGAGUUGCACGUUCAAGCUGUGUUCAUAGCGUCACCAGCCAUCAAACCAUAUCAGCCUGAUUUCGUUAAACAUCUGAACCCUCCAAGUCUCCUUUUUUUCUGGAUUUCAUGCUUAGCAAACAAUUCCCUGAGAUAAUGUGGCUUGGCAUCUAGAACAAUACAUGAGUCUUGACGAGCCUGCCUGGAGAGAUGGAUCCACUCUUGAGUGAGUGAGCAAAAGUGGGCUCUGAUCCUACAGAGCUGGGGGCUACACACUGGACCGCUGCCAACACCCUACAUGAGGACACUCUGUGACCCCCUCAGCACAGCUCUUUGCCCUCUCCUGACCCUAUCCCACUGCAUGUCCAGCUGUCUAAGGUUUGAAUCUGGGCUCUGCCACUUAUUAGCUGGGUGACCUCAGGUUUAUUCUAAAAUGUGAACACCUUCCCAAGCCUCCAGGAUUUAAACUGCUAUCAUUAAGCAAACACAGUUUAUGUGCAGGGCUAAAUAGCCAGCAACUAUCAACCAUGGGACAAACUGAACAUCCAGGCAGGCACAGCCCCUCUACUGAGUUCAAAGCUCUUUGCAGCUCACGUUCUCCAUCUUGUGGACAUUUAUCCCUGGCAGAGUCUCAGAAGUUGGUAACUGUGUGUUGGAGAACUACUAAGCUCAUGGUCCAGGGAGAUAUGAUUGUCCUGUCACAUCCAACCUUGUGACCUAGAGACAGUGCCUGGGGCUGACACGGAUGUGGAUUCUGGAAUCUGGUGACCAACAUUUGAAUCCCAACCCUGUCACUCACUGUGACUCAUGCAAACACUUAACCUGCUUCUUCUGUAACUGAGGCUGAGAUUAUUUCUGGAGAAAUUCCCUGCGGCUGUUGGCCACAGCCACAUGCCGAGAUGAGAUUGAAGAUCACCCCAGCCUGGACUAUGAUGGUAACUAGUCAGAAAUCCAUGUUAAUAGAUAGACAACAGAUAAAAUAUGGGAUCUGGAAUGAGGGAAAAGUCCACAACCGUCAAGAGGAAUGAUCUUCAACUUCCGGGAGGAAGCUCAGAAUUUUGAUGUUUAGCUGAAAAAGCCACUGAAUAUGAGGCUGACAAAUUCAAAAUUCAUGUAAAAUAAAUAUUCAAGAAAGCGUGUUUGUAUGAGUGAAAGGGAGGGGAUGUAGGGUCACAGGAGAAGACAAAAAGCAAAGUAAAAAUAAAAUAAAAGCCAAAGCCAGAGCCACAAACUGAUAUUUGUGAUUGAUUUCAGUUCUAUGUGCCGAGAUCCAGUGCAGAAAGUAACGGGAAGUGGGGCAGUGCCAUAGGGCAGAGGUAAGGACAUAAAGCAGAUGUGAGAUAGUGUGGAAACCUCAGGACAGGCCUCCUGCAAAUAAAUGCUGCAAAUAAAUGCCCAUUCCGGCUCUUGCUUCUUUAUCUUUCUGAUAAUUAUGCUCGCUUUCACUUAACUACUUCCUGGUGGCAUAUCAGGUGGUAACUGAACUUCACAGAUCAUGGUGUUGGGGCAAUGAGCUGUGGGCCUCACUGCUUUGGUAUAGAUUUCUAUGGCCGUUAGUUUUACAAAGUAGGAGUUCAUAGGACAGAACUUUACAGCAGUGAUAUAAGACUUUAUAGAUGAGGACACAGAGCCUGAAUUUUUUAUUUUGUCAUUCUAGUGGCCGUGAAGUAGCAUGCCUUGUGGGGGUUUUUUUGGGGGGGACAUUUAAAAUUUUUAUUUAACUUAAUAUAUAUUUUUUUAGUGUUUAUUUAUUUUUGAGAGAGACAGAGCAUGAGCGGGGGAGGGGCAAAGAGAGAGGGAGACACAGAAUCUGAAACAGGCUCCAGGUUCUGAGCUGUCAGCAUAGAGCCUGACGUGGGGCUCAAAUUCACGGACUGUGAGAUCAUGACCUGAGCAGAAGUCGGAUGCCCAACCGACUGAGCCAUCGAAGUGCCCCACUUAACUUAAUAUUAAUAUCUGAUCUGCCAAUACCCUAUUUAUGUUCCUACCUUGUCUGUGAAAUAAAUUCAUAAAAUCAUUGAAGUUAGUGAUAGCACUAAGUCUCUAGUAGCUGGGUGGAGAGACAGGAGGAGUGGGUCUGUACGUAUGUAUGACCAAAUCAUUUUUCUGAAGAUUAUAAUGUUUCAAACAGAGGUAAUCUCUUAAGCACCAAAGUGUCCAUUUCCGUGGCAUUAAGUAUAUUCACAUUUUUGUAUAGCAAUCAACAACAUUCCUGUUGUGGCUUUAAGUCGAAUUUCUCUGAUGACUAAUGAAGCUGCACAUGCUUUGCAUAUGCUCAUUAGCUACUCAUAGAUCUUCCUUGGUGAAGUGUCAAUUCCAAUCUGUGGCCUAUUUUAAAAAACUGAGUUGCUCACCUUUGUUAUCAGUGAUUUAUACGAGUUCUUUAUAUAUUCUAGAUGUUCAAUGUCUAUAGUCCAUGGCAAGACACAUGUUUUGCAUAUAUUUUCCCCCUGCCUCUUCAUUUUUUAAAUGAUGUCACUUAAUGAACAGGAAACUUCCAUUUGGAUGAAAUCCAAUCUGUAAUUUAUGGGGGUGCUUUUUGUGUCCUAAGAAAGUAAUUGCCUACUUCAAGGAUGCAAAGAUAUUCUCUUUUAUGCUUUUUUCUGAAAGCCUUAUGGAUCUGGCUUCUAUGUUUGGGUCUGUGGUCCUUUUAAAAUUAAUUAAUGAAUUCUAAUUAAUCAUGUGUAUGGAGUGAGUAGAGGUCAAGGUUCAUUUUUUUCCCACGUGGAUGUUUACUUGUUCCAGCACUUUUUCCUUUUGCAUGGAAUUGCCCUGGUGUCUUGAUGGAAAAUCAAUUGACUGGGGGUGCCUGGGUGGCUCAGUCAGUUAAGCGUCUGACUUCGGCUCAGGUCAUGAUCUCACGGUUCAUGAGUUGGAGCCCUGUGUCGGGCUUUGUGCUGACAGCUCUGAGCCUGGAGCCUGCUUCGGAUUCUGUGUCUCCCUCUCUCUCUAUCCCUCCCCUGCUUGUGCUCUCUCUCUCUCUUAAAAGUAAAUAAAUGUUAAAAAAAAAUUUUUUUAAGUAAAAAGAAAAUCAAUUGACCAUGUACAUGUGAAGUUUGUUUUCAGAGUCUCUAUACAGUUCCAUGGAUCUAUUAGUAUGACCUUGCCCAGAAAUUUAGGAUGACAACAAUUAAAUCUGCAACCUCCUAACCAAUAAGCAGAGAAAGCCCUGAGCUGCUUUGGUGGCUGCAUCUCAUCAUUGUUUAUAUCCCCCAAUUUCCCCGGGGCACUCCCCCUAUGCCCUCUCGCUUCCCCGAUAUGAGCUCACUCAAAAACUACUAUAGAAUCUAGGAAUCGAAACUGCAGGCCAGAUUUAGAAGCAAUUGUGCAAUGUUGGGCAGUUCCUAAGUUACUGCUUGUGUGGUUCUUCAUGAUUUGUGGAUAAGAAGCUUGUUUUUUGUCUUUCUCUUGCUGACUAGUGUGGACCGUGCAUGUGAAUGUAGGUGGGCAUGUGCAGAAGUUCUUUGUAUUUGACUCAUGGUGGUCUUGGGCAACUUGGAUUUCUCUUAUGGUAGAUGACCUCCCCAGUGAGAGCAUUCCAGGAGACCAGGUGGACACUGCAAGGAUUCUUACGAUUCCUCCUUGAGAUUUCCAGAACAUCACUUUUGCUGCAUUCUAUUGGUCAAUCAAACCACCUUGAAUAAAGACCAGCUUCUUCCUCUUGAUUUUGAGAUACAUGAAACUCAAGUACAACUCCCACCCAUGAUGAGGUCCAGUUUUGACUUCGGUCUUGUGCUACAGGGCUUCUCUCUUAUUGAGUUGUGGAGAAAGGCAUAUCCGAGAGAGCAGGCAAGAACUUCCCACGCCCAAGGUGUAACCCAGCCAACAUGAGUCGCUCCGUGGGGAGUCAGAAGCUGCACCAGGUUGAGUUGUUGCCCAAAGAAAAUGUUUAUUUGCAGCAAAUAAGGAGAUCACUGCGAAUGAGAGAGGGUGAAUGGGUUCCUUAUGUUCAGGGUUAGGAUUACUAGAUAGGAAAGAUUUGUCAUCUAGUAGACGGCAUGCACCUUAAGGAAACACGCCUUUACAUACAUGUAUUUAUGUAAAUGAGGCUGAGGUUCCUCCCUGGGUGGAGAUUUUAGUAUUAUAAUGAGAUAAAGGUAAUGGGAGGUCAUUCAGAAGGUCACUCUGAGCAUGGUCCAUCAUGAGUGGGGGGGUGGUAUUAGCUCAAAAGGUCUGGGUGUUCUGGGCCUGUGGGAGGCAGGUCUUGUGAGGGCAGUCACUGUCGCCAUCACCUGAGGGGUGGUUUUGGGUUUCCUUUGCCUGAGUUAAGAGGAAAGCCAGAAAGAAGAGCUUAAGGAAAAAGACAAGACAAAGGUUAGUGAGUACAAGCAGGUGGGAAGUAAAGGUCAGGUCUUGGGGUCUAGCUGGUGACAAAGGGUCUCCAAGGCUGGCUCCUUCUCCCUUGAGAAGACUUGUGUUUCUCUUACCGGAAACAGGUGACCUCGGCCUUCCCUGCUUGUGAGCAGUGGCUACAUUUCGAGUCUCUUCAACUCAUCAGAAGGAAACAACUCCACUUGGCACUGCUGACAGCUGAUUUUCCAAGUGUCCCGUCACUCAACCUCCUGACUUGACAGAAGUGCCACAUUUGCUGUGGCAUAGCUCACUUCUCCUUCGGUGGCAUGUGAUGAUUUUAUUUCCCUGUGCUUGUUUCCUGAGGACCAGGCAGCAGGGGUCUCGUGUGCCAGGCCACGUGGGCUGACGGUUUGAUCUAGAGUACCUUCUGCUCCCUCUGUCUUGUGUGUGACCGUGUGUCUCAGUGAGUUCAGGCAGCAUAACAGAACCACAGACUGGAUGGCUUAGGAACGAACAGGUCUUCCUCACAGUUCUGAAAGCUGGAAGUCCAAGAUCAGGGAGCCAGCAUGGCUGGGUUCUGGUGAGGGCCCUCUGUCUGGUCUGGUUGACCAACCUCUCUUUGUAUCCUUAGAUGGCAGGAAAGGAGCUAGUGAGCUCUCCGGCCUCUUCUGAGGGCACUAUCCCAUCCAUGAGAGCUCUACCUUCCACCCUAGUCACCUCCCAAAGGCCUUUGCAUCACACCGGGAUAGGGUUUCAACAUAUAAAUUUGAGGAGGGCGACACUGGUAUCAGUCUUACUGCAGGCUGCCAUAACUAAGCACCACCGACGGGGCCGCUUAAAUAAUAGAAUUUUUCUUUCUCACAUUCUGGAAGCUGGAAGUCUGAGAUCAAGAUAUCCACAGGGUUGGUUUCUUCUGAGGUUUCAGUUCUUGGCUUGUAGACACAACUUUACCCUGUGUCUUACUAUUUUUU